GUCCACGCCGUAAACGAUGGGUACUAGGUGUUCGGGGUAUUGACCCCCUGAGUGCCGCAGCUAACGCAUUAAGUACCCCGCCUGGGGACUACGGCCGCAAGGCUAAAACUCAAAGGAAUUGACGGGGGCCCGCACAAGCGGUGGAGCAUGUGGUUUAAUUCGACGCAACGCGAAGAACCUUACCUGGGCUAGACAACAUCGGACAGCCCCAGAAAUGGGGUCUCCCCGCAAGGGGCCGGUGGUUCAGGUGCUGCAUGGCUGUCGU
rnacentral:rRNA from 1 species